UAGGGAAUCUUCCGCAAUGGACGAAAGUCUGACGGAGCAACGCCGCGUGAGUGAUGAAGGCUUUCGGGUCGUAAAACUCUGUUGUUAGGGAAGAACAAGUACAAGAGUAACUGCUUGUACCUUGACGGUACCUAACCAGAAAGCCACGGCUAACUACGUGCCAGCAGCCGCGGUAAUACGUAGGUGGCAAGCGUUAUCCGGAAUUAUUGGGCGUAAAGCGCGCGCAGGCGGUUUCUUAAGUCUGAUGUGAAAGCCCACGGCUCAACCGUGGAGGGUCAUUGGAAACUGGGGAACUUGAGUGCAGAAGAGAAAAGCGGAAUUCCACGUGUAGCGGUGAAAUGCGUAGAGAUGUGGAGGAACACCAGUGGCGAAGGCGGCCUUUUGGUCUGUAACUGACGCUGAGGCGCGAAAGCGUGGGGAGCAAACAGG
rnacentral:rRNA from 1 species